GAAAUGCGAUAAGUAAUGUGAAUUGCAGAAUUCAGUGAAUCAUCGAAUCUUUGAACACACCUUGCGCUCCUUGGUAUUCCUUGGAGCAUGCCUGUUUGAGUAUCAUGAAAUCUUCAAAGUAAAUCUUUUGUUAACUCAAUUGGUUUCUACUUUGGUAUUGGAGGUCUUUGCAGCUUCACACCUGCUCCUCUUUGUUCAUUAGCUGGAUCUCAGUGUUAUGCUUGGUUCCACACGGCGUGAUAAGUUAUCUAUCGCUGAGGACACUGUAAAAGGUGGCCAAGGUAAAUGCAGAUGAACCGCUUCUAAUAGUCCAUUGACUUGGACAAUACUUUUAUGAUCUGAUCUCAAAUCAGGUAGGACUACCCGCUGAACUUAAGC
rnacentral:misc_RNA from 1 species